GACGAACGCUGGCGGCGUGCUUAACACAUGCAAGUGGAGCGACGAACCAGGGCUUGCCCUGGGGCAGAGCCGCGAACGGGUGAGUAACACGUGGGUAACGUGCCCCGAUGACUGGGACAACCCGGGGAAACCCGGGCUAAUACCGGAUGUGCCCCCUCACAUCAGUGAGGUGUGUAAAGGAAGCUUCGGCCUCCGCAUCGGGAUCGGCCCGCGGCCCAUUAGCUUGUUGGUGAGGUAACGGCUCACCAAGGCUGCGAUGGGUAGCUGGUCUGAGAGGACGAUCAGCCACACUGGGACUGAGACACGGCCCAGACUCCUACGGGAGGCAGCAGUGGGGAAUCUUGCGCAAUGCGCGAAAGCGUGACGCAGCAACGCCGCGUGGGGGAAGACGGCCUUCGGGUUGUAAACCCCUUUCAGUUGGGACGAAGGUCGGGCGGUUAACAGCCGUUCCGGCUGACGGUGCCUUCACAAGAAGCCCCGGCUAACUACGUG
rnacentral:rRNA from 1 species